AAGAGGCAAUGAAAUUGGAAGAGUUCAUUGACUGCUCUGGAAGAGGAAGUUCAAAACCUGAUCAGUGCAACGGAACACUUCUGAUGGGCAUCUGGUGAGGUGUGUAUGUGUGUGUGUGUGUCUGUGUGUGUGUGUGUAUGCUAUGCGUGUGGGCUGAAUAAUGAGGCAAAUAAUGGUUUCUUC